rnacentral:rRNA from 1 species
GACGAACGCUGGCGGCGUGCUUAACACAUGCAAGUCGAACGAAGUGGCGAACGGGUGAGUAACGCGUGAUCAACCUGCCCUUCAAAGGGGGACAACAGUUGGAAACGACGGCUAAUACAGCAUACUGAAGAGGGGGAUUGCGUCUGAUUAGCUAGUUGGAGGGGUAAAGGCCCACCAAGGCGAUGAUCAGUAGCCGGGUUUAGAGGAUGAACGGCCACAUUGGGACUGAGACCCGGCCCAGACUCCUACGGGAGGCAGCAGUGGGGAAUCUUCCGCAAUGGACGAAAGUCUGACGGAGCAACGCCGCGUGAGUGAUGACGGCCUUCGGGUUGUAAAGCUCUGUUAAUCGGGACGCGGUACCGGAAUAGAAAGCCACGGCUAACUACGUGCCAGCAGCCGCGGUAAUUC